rnacentral:rRNA from 1 species
AUUGAACGCUGGCGGCAUGCUUUACACAUGCAAGUCGAACGGUAACAGGCCUUCGGGUGCUGCCGAGUGGCGAACGGGUGCGUAAUGCAUCGGAACGUGCCCAGAGGUGGGGGAUAACGCAGCGAAAGCUGUGCUAAUACCGCAUGUGAUCUGAGGAUGAAAGCGGGGGACCAAGCAGCAAUGUUUGGCCUCGCGCCUCUGGAGCGGCCGAUGUCAGAUUAGGUAGUUGGUGGGGUAAAGGCCUACCAAGCCGACGAUCUGUAGCUGGUCUGAGAGGACGACCAGCCACACUGGGACUGAGACACGGCCCAGACUCCUACGGGAGGCAGCAGUGGGGAAUUUUGGACAAUGGGCGCAAGCCUGAUCCAGCAAUGCCGCGUGCGGGAAGAAGGCCUUCGGGUUGUAAACCGCUUUUGUACGGAACGAAAAGGCUCUGGCUAAUACCUGGGGCUGAUGACGGUACCGUAAGAAUAAGCACCGGCUAACUACGUG